CUAAUAAUUUGACAUUUUGGCAGUUCACUCAUUUACAAUUUCACGAGUCUUUUAUAUUGGUCGGCAUAUACAGAAUUACAGAUAUGAUGUUUGCGUGGAACCAUCAUGAAUAUGACACUGCUGGCAAUAAUGAGUACUUGCGUGGCCUUACCAUCUCCACGUUAUUUAUUUAGAUUCAUACGCUAAAUUAUAUGGGUAUAUGAACGGAAACGAACAGAAACGAACGGAAACGAUGAAGAAUAGCUUCACCUUUCACUUUUUGGAUGGGAAAUUGAGUUCAUAUAAGCCUAUUUUAUUGUUUUUAUUUUAUUUAUUGGGAUUAUUUAUAUAAAACAGUUUUAAUUGAUAGAUUAAACCUAAUAAUUAAAUGUUUUAGAGCUAUACUAUUUAUAUGUUUUUUAUUUAUUUCAUGACACAAUUUUGAUGAUUUAAUAAAAUAAUAGACUUUUCCUCCUAAUUCUCUUUCUUCCUAGCUUUUCCUUUUCCCUGCUUUUAAUCCUUAGCUUCUUGCUUUACUCUUCUUUUUUUUCAAGUUUAUAGUCCCACAUCAGAUCCCUAAGAAGGUUUUGCUGCAGAAAAGUUUGAGUUUAAUGUGCUGUAUUAUUGACAUUUCAAAUAUUUUUCUUGUUUAUGUUCCUCCCUGUUUUCUUAAGAAGAACAAAUGUUUAAUAUCGAAGGAUCAAUCCUGCCAAACUGUUCCUUUAUCAUAAUUCCAGAGAAUUUGUUUGUUUGGCAACAUUGAUUGAAUUUAGGCAGGAUAUUUGAUUAUCUCGUUUUGAAAUGUAGUGAAAUAUCUCUCUCACUUCGUAGUUUUAAUUAACAUUGCUUGUUCCGUGAUUGAAAAAAGUGAAAAUGCCCAUGUAUACUCGAGACAUAGUAUGCUUGGUGGAAUGUAAAACUUACUGAGUUACUUUAAAAAAGCAGAGUUGCGAAAGGGAGAAAAAAAAAUGACAUUGACUAAAAGUUUAUAGUAUAUUUUUGCUGCAGGGUAGGCUUGGCUUGAGUUGAUGGGAGUGUGAACCAGCUUGCUGGCCACAUGAGUCAACCUUGGAAGAACUCGAGAGUGAAUCUUUGUUUCAAAGAAGCUCUCCUCACUGAUUUAACUCGUCUGCAUCACCUAUGUUGUCUGUUUAUGAAAAUGCAGAGCCCACCAUGAAGAGUGGAUGUCAAUCUCAGUGCUUUAGUUGUCAUGGUCAAGAAAAGUCAGCACUUAGCCUUUGCAUGGUUGCUAAAAGCCUUGAGGAAAGCAGAAGCAAGGACGUCUGUCGACAUGGAGCGUCACACAGGAUCGCUGAAAGUUAUAUUGCAAUGAACAUGAUCUUGCAGGCAAUACGUUUCGGCGACUGUUGAUGACUAGAACUCAGCAGACGGCAAAUGUGCACACUUGAACCCUCUUUGACCUGCUCUCUCCAGGUCCCAUCCAUAAGAUCCCAUUAUCAGAAAUCUAUAUUUAUGUUGCCAAAGUGAUUUACUCUUUCAUUUGAUCUCCCCUGCAACAUGACACGCAGAAGAUUGUACCCUAUACAUAACAUGGCAGGUUCAGCCUUUGCUUGUGGUUUAUGUGGGAAUUCUUGAAAUGAAAUUAUGAAAUCCAUGAUAAACUAAUACAUUAUCAAGCUAGUCUCGAAACAGUGCUAAGCCAGAAUAGCAUCUGGGAUGGUAUUUAUCCAUCCUGCAGCGUUGAAGAAGUGCUCCAUUUCUGGAGUAAUAUACAUGUUACGCCUAGAGAUGGAAAUGGACUUUCAAAAUCACUCCACCAUUUCUCUCAUCGUCUACAGCACCAUAAAGUAAUUUUAACUUUGGACCCCCCCCCCUCCGGUUCUUAUUCAUAGACUUGGAUUUAUCCUGUAGUGAAAGUGGAGAUACCUAUUGGAUGUGUGAACAAACGAGAUCAAUUGGGCUAGCUGUUACUUUUUUUUUUCUUUUCUUUUAGUUAAAGUGCACUCGGUGACUGAUGGAAUUUAUUGCUAAUUUACCUCUGGUUUUUCUCGUUGCUAGUCAAUUUGGUGGAGACACCGGGUCCUGUCGGUAAGGCUGACUGCUCACCAACUAGGAAGGAGAGCGUCUUUCAGUUUUCACUCGUAUGGUAUGGUUUUAUUGUUCAUUCCACUCGUUUUCUUGUUAAAGGAAAGGGGGUAUAAUGAUUGGUAUAGGUCAGGGCUUUCUUUUUACAAGAAUCUUCACUCUUUCAAUGCUCCUCCAUGAUUAACUUUAUUUUAUCAUACAUCUUUUUCUGCCCACUAAUACAAGUCUUUAUUGUUUUUGAAUUGGAAUCCCAUCUGUGUAAGAUAUGUGAGAUGAUGUUGAAAUAGAUUGGCUUCAUUCAUUACC